GUGCUCGAUUCAGCAGCACAUAUACUAAAAUUGGAUCUAUACAGAGUAGAUUAGCAUGGCCUCUGUGCAAGGAUGACACGCAAAACAAUUUACAAGUUCAAAUUCAU